UUUUCAGAUAUUGAGUAGAUUAGUCGAAAGCUGAGAAGCAGGAACAAUUAGAGCUCUUGGAAUCGGCAGUAAAUGCUGCUAAUGACUCUUGGGUUUUGAGGGUUCUGGUGAUGAUGGUGUGGUGGUGCUGAUGAGAAAAAAGAGUAAUCUGUUUUAGUUGAAAGAUCUGAGUUUGGCCUCGUACUUUAAGGAAAUUGAGGUGUGGAAACAAAAGACAAUCUUGAACAGAAGACCAACAUAAUUGCACAUUAAGUAGAGAAAAAGC